rnacentral:misc_RNA from 1 species
UCCGGUUUGUCACCGGCAGUCUCAUUAAAGUGCCCACCUUAAAUGCUGGCAAUUAAUGACAAGGGUUGCGCUCGUUGCGGGACUUAACCCAACAUCUCACGACACGAGCUGACGACAGCCAUGCAGCACCUGUGCAAGCUGGUAUUGCUACCUCGUCAGACUUUCAUCCUUCUACUACUUGCAUGUCAAGGCCAGGUAAGGUUCUUCGCGUUGCAUCGAAUUAAGCCACAUACUCCACCGCUUGUGCAGGCCCCCGUCAAUUUCUUUGAGUUUUAAUCUUGCGACCGUACUUCCCAGGCGGCGCAUUUAACGCGUUAGCUUCGCCACAAGCGGGGUCGAUUCCGAUUACAGCAAAUGCGCACCGUUUACAGCUAGGACUAC